rnacentral:rRNA from 1 species
UACGUAGGGUGCAAGCGUUAAUCGGAAUUACUGGGCGUAAAGCGUGCGCAGGCGGCGCGUUAAGACAGGUGUGAAAGCCCCGAGCUUAACUUGGGAAUUGCGCUUGUGACUGGCGAGCUGGAGUGUGGCAGAGGGAGGUGGAAUUCCACGUGUAGCAGUGAAAUGCGUAGAGAUGUGGAGGAACACCGAUGGCGAAGGCAGCCUCCUGGGCCAGCACUGACGCUCAUGCACGAAAGCGUGGGGAGCGAACAGG